UUUAAUAACACCUACAUUUUUACUUAAAUUAUUUGUAUAAUAUUACAGCUCAUCUUCAUUUUUCAAAGGGACAAGUGCCUUCAGACAUGACACACUGCUGUCCCACGGGAUCAGCAAACGCCACCAGCACUGUGCUGUUGCUGAGAAAGCAAAAGGUCCUCAUGCAAAAGUGCCAACUGUAGUCCAAGCAGUACAAAAAAUGGACCCGGCAUUGUUUAAUAAAAUGAAGAAUGUUAUGCACACAGCCUAUUACAUUGCAAAAGAGGAGCAACCCUUCACUCAAUUUCCUGAACUUCAUGGGCUCAUCAACAGGACCGGUGGGACACUCCCAGACAGCUACAAUUCAGACAAAGCUUGCACUCGCUUCAUUUGUAACAUAUAUGAUGUGGAGUGGGAAAAGCUCAUGGAGAAGUUGAGGAAUGCCAAACACUUCUCCAUCAUGAUUGAUGGGGCAACUGAUGGUGGCAACAUUGAAAAUGAAGCUGUCUAUGUCCGCUUCAUGGCAGACGAAGGUCCAGUAAAUGCUUUCCUCUCCAUUCAGGUUGUUAAGCAAGGAAAUGCUUCUGGGAUCCUGGAUGCCAUAUAUGCAGCAUUUGAAGAAGCUGGCAUUGAUGACUUGAAGGACCGGCUAGUGGGAUUUGGCAGCGAUGGAGCAGCAGUCAAUGUCGGAUGCAGGAAUUGGGUGGCAGCGCAGCUUCUGAGGGACAUCCCAUACCUCAUCUCCAUACACUGCGUAGCUCAUCGCCUGGAGCUGGGUGUGACUAAAGCAAUUAAAGAAAAUACCAACAUGGGUCGGCUUCAGAAUACACUGAAGAACCUAUAUGACCAGUACCACUACUCCCCCAAGGCUCUCAGGGAGCUUCACCAGAUUGCUGAGGCCCUGGAGGAGAAGGUACUGAAGCCAUCCAACCUCCAUGGUGCCCGAUGGCUACCAUAUGUGCAUCGUGCAACAACGGUCAGUGCUAAAUUAACUACAGCUUUUUCAGCAGAUAUUAUUAAUGAGUAAUGCCAAAUGGAUAUUAUGUAUUAAUAAUUCUCUUUUUUUGUAGAUUUUAUGUGAUAGUUACUCUGUCCUCCUGGCCCAUUUUGAGGACAUGGCAAGCAUGGAAAGGAGCCCCAUACCAUCACCAGCUGUUGUUGGAAGAGCGAAACAAGUCACUGGGUAUCUCAAGAACCUGCACCAUUUAAUCUUUCUACACUUCAUGUGUGACACACUUGAUCAUCUUGCUCUUUUGAGCAAAGACAACAACACAGUGUGUCAAGUGGUUGAAAGCCUGGAGACAUUUUACUGGAACCUGACUGCACUCAAGACAGAAAUGGGUCCACAGAUGGCCAAAGUCUACAAGGCAGUGAAGACCAAUGGGGAAUACAGAGGAGUGCAGUUCCAGGUUUGACAUGCAGUUCCGAGCUUGGAAGCAGAACGAGCUGCAGUGAUUGAUGCCAUCAUCUUUCACUUAGAGGAGAAGCUGAGGGACCUUCAAAGGGGCAGUCCAGUCAGUAAAUUUAA